CACUUCAACACCAGCCGUUCUCUCUUUUCAUCUGUCUUUUUUUUAUUUUUCUCAUUUUCUUUCUUUGCCCUAAUUUUCUUCUCCAACAAUGGGCAAAAACGUAGUCUAUGAUGAAGAAGAUGGAAGCUCUUUAUUCGAAGCUCUACGAUAAGUACACGAAACUCAAGUUGAGCCGAGGAAGCAGAUCUCAUGCUCUUUGCAACUGUUGAAUAAGACCGAUAACUAUGUGGCUUUCAAGGUGAAGACUACAAAUCCAAAGAAGUACUGUGUGAGGCCCAAUACUGGAAUUGUGAUGCCCAGGUCUUCCUGUGAUGUUAUAGGUAACAUCACGGGCUUAUGCAGCACGACCAGAGCCUCGAGAUAACUCAUCCAAGUCGAGGAGAAUUCAAUGAGUUUCGGUCUCUGAUGAUAAUUCUUCUCGCUCUCCAUCUGAUUCUACUCAUAAGCUCUUACAGCUUGAUAACUUGAAAUACAAUAGGAGAAAUUAGGAACAAUGCUGGACAAGAUGACUUGCAUUCAGAAUAUGGUUACCAAAGAAUAAUGGCCCGCCAUUAUGCUAUUAGAGAUGGCUAUCCAGAGCAGUUUCUGUGCUUUGUGUGUUGCAGGUUUCACAAUAGAAGCUAGCAAAAAUUCGAAAAGGUAUCCUUGCAAAAUCUGCGCUACUAUCAAAAGAUAGAUGACGUAUUUUUGAUCCUCCUCACCGUGCUGCUGCCGAUGAAGCCCAGACCUCCUAACAGUAAGGGGGUGUUUGGUGGAGGAGUUUGAGUAAUGUUGUUCGGGUGUUUUUGAUAUACGUGAACAAAAGGGCCUCUCUCUCAAUCUCACUCGGACCUCUCUUCAUUACCAUUUGAUUUUGUUUCAGCGCCUUCCUUAUGUCUCUACAAAGAAUAUGUAGUUCUCCUUUUCGCCAUGCAUGCUGUAGCCAUGGAAGCCUUCAUUAGUUUUUUAGUUCUAGAAACGAGAGACUUAAGUGAAGAAGAAAUGAAUGUGAAAGCAUGGGAAACACACCGACUUUGGAAGAAGUGCAUCUGAUGAAGCCUUGCAAUAUAUGCUAGUUUUUAUUUUUCUGUCUCUUCUGUAUAAACAGUUUGGUUCUUCUAAUAUGUAAGAGUAAGACUCUCUUUUAUGUAAACAUUAUUUUCUUAAUUCACAAGUUUGGUAUUAAAAAAACAGUAUUUUCUUAAUUCACAAGUUCGUGUUACAAGAUGAAUGAGCCCAAAAACACGGAAAAAAUCUUUUAUCAGGAAAAAUACAUGAUUGUUGGACGAUAUGGCACAAGUUGGAGACCAUAAAUUUAGGAAACAACAAUUUCACCGACAACAUUCCAACAUCCAUUGGACCGUUGACUCUUCUCAAGUCUUUGCACCUACACAACAACAAACUCUCAAACAAAUUGCCAUCAUCUUUGAAAAAUUGUAUAGAAUUGGUUAUUAUUGAUCUUAGUGAAAAUGAGUUUGUUGGAUCCAUCCCUUCAUGGAUAUGACAUAGGCUUUUAAGCUUGACGACUCUCAACCUUUGCUCAAAUAAUUUUCAUGGUCACAUUCUGAAAGGACUUUGUGCUAUAACUUCAGAUUUUUGACCUUUACCAUAAAAAAUUAUUUGGAAGCAUACCAAGAUGCGUUAAAAAUUUUAGUGCCAUGGCCACAAAAAGUAAUUCAUAUCUCAAUAUGGAUUUUUACCCCCCAAUUUAUUCGUAUGGUGAAUCUUUCCCUCUUGAAAAUGCAUUGCUUGUGAUAAAGGGAAAAAUUCUUGAGUGUAGUACCAUUCUUCAACUAGUAAAAAGUAUUGACUUUUCCAAGAACAGCUUAUCAGGAGAGAUUCUAGAAGAAGUGACCAAUCUCUAAGAAUUACAGUCAUUGAAUUUGUCAUAUAAUCUCUAGAUUGGAAGUAUUCCUGUGAAUAUAGGUACUAUGGGUUCAUUGGAAUCUAUUGAUUUCUCUAUGAACCAACUUAUAGGUCAAAUUCCCUCAAGCAUGUCAAGUUUGACAUUUUAAAAUCAUUCGAACUUGUCAAACAACAAUUUGAUUGGGAAAAUCCCUUUAGGCACCCUGUUACAGAGUUUUGAGGCAUCCAGUUUUAUUGGAAACAAACUCUGUGGACCACCACUUACUGAUAAUUGUACUACAAAUGGUGUAAAACCCAACAAUGAAAACAUAGGGAGUAAAGGUACUCUUGGACUUGAAGUGGAUUGGUUCUAUGUGAGCAUUGCAAUUGGCUUUGUGGUUGGUUUUUUGGGUGUAUGCUGUCCUUUACUAUUGAACAAGCAAUGGAGAAUUAUCUACUUUCAAUUCCUAGAUCACAUGGGGGAUAGUUUUAGGGGUGUUGUUUCAUUGUUAGUAAAUGUUGUAAGAUUCUUCAUAUUUUAGUGCAAAUGUCAUGUGAUAAUGUUAAUCAAUGUUUUGAUGGUGUCUGUAACAUGUGUUAGUUAAUACACUCCACUAGCAUAUAUGAAUAUGGUAUUUCUUCCUAUGGACAACAAAGGCAAUCCAAUUCGUAGUUUCAUUUAAUCCCUGUAGAUUAAUAUUGUAAAAUCAAACUUUAGUUUGUACAAGCAAUGGAUUCAAUAAAAGUAGUAUACCAUACCUACUUAUCAAAAAACAAAAGUAGUAUGCUAUACCUUGAAAUUACUCCUAGGCUUUGUUUCUGUUACUUUAAACAAAUGUUUAUCUUGAGUUUCAGCAGUGCUUUUGUUGAGUUCAUGGGUUUAACACAUUUUUGGAAACUUAAUUGGGAUUGGCCAUAUGCAAGUUUAACACAUUUUUGGUUCCCUAUUUAGGUGGACAAUUUCUCAAACAUCAUAUUGAAAAUGAACAUGAAAUUUGCAACUUGCAAGUCAAGCUGAAUAGUGUCUAGUGGAAUACUUUCUCGCAAUUUCAAGAAAGAUUGUAGUACAUGAAACAUUAUUUGUGAGCAAACCAUCAAUAGCUGGUUUUGGCUAAAAACCUGAUUAUCCAUACGCAUAUGUUGUUGCCUGCUAUUAAACAUGUAAAGGUUCUUUUGAACACAAUUCUUCCUUAUUGCUUCAUCAUAUCUGUAUCUUUCAUAAUUGUUGUGUUUCUCUUGGUAUAGUUUUCUUUGUAAUACCCUACAAUUCCAACCCAUGCAAAGGUGCUCCAAUCUAACUUGCAAUGAGAAAGAAAAAUGUGCCCUUCUAAGUUUCAAAGUUCUUACAAGUCCUUUAAAUAGGCUCUUGUCUUUGUCUGUUCAAGAUUGCUGAAGAGGGAUUGGAAUCUGAGUGACACGUAAGUGGAAAUCGAGUUGAGCUCCACCUAUAAAUUAAUAUUCUGCUGAUGAAUGAUGAAUAUAGAUUGCCGUUAUGUUGAAAGAUUAAUCCUUUUUUAGUGGAGCUAAAACUACUAAAUAAAUUGAGUUAAUUAUUUUAUUGGUGAGGGCAUUCCAAGCUAUUUUGGUUACUCUGGAGAGAAUUAGACAUCUUGACCUCUCCUUUGCAGGAUUUGGAGUAUUCAUUUCUCAGGAGCAUAGAACUCUAUCACAACUUUACUUUCUUAAUCCUACAGGAAAAUGAUCUUUAUUUGGAUGGUCUGGUAUUGGUUUAUUGUCUUUCUUACCUGCAUUAUUUUUAUCAAUCGGUGUCAACUGUCAUAGGGAAAAAGAAAAAGGCUUCAGGAUGCGCUGAGACAAGGGCUAAUUAAAACUUAAAGUGGACUGGGCAUUGUUAGGAAGUCAAUUCAACUGUAUGGUCCUUUUCAACUCGAGCUUAUAUCAAUGCUGUCUAAAGAAUGCAACAAAACAUUUCAUCUCAUUUCAGCUUCGUCUUGAAAUAAUUUUAAACAUGUCGUCGUGGCACUUAUUACUAGAUGAAAGGAUUAGAGGAUUCAGAAAUUACACAAGGAUUAGAGGAUUAAGAAAUUACACAACGAUUAAAGGGCCUACCUUUUCUCAUUGCUGCCUAAUCACACAUUCUUUGCUAAAAAUGUACCCUUCUCUCCAAGCCAAGGAUGACAUGUGGAAUCAAAUCAGAAUAUGGUGUUAUCAAAAAAAAAAAAAAAUAUAUAUAUAUAUAUAUAUUUUGCCGCACCUUUCUUCUUCUGUUUUUCUGUGUUUUGGGAUCAACUUAUAUUCUAUAGGCCAAUUAGCUUCCCACAUCUAUCUGGUAUACAAUCCAGAUUGUAAAUAUCCUGCAUUAUUAGUUAUCCUUUUAUCAUUUUCUGUCUUUGUUAAAAUUAUGUGGCUGUUAUAGACCUUUCUUCUCGGAUUUAUGGAUAUUUUGCCAAUAUUCUGGUAAAUAUUUGGAAUUUAUAAAAUUAAAUGUGAUUGAUAAUGAAUCUUAAAUUAACU